rnacentral:rRNA from 1 species
UCCCAGACUCUACGGGAGGCAGCAGUGGGGGAUAUUGCACAAUGGGGGAACCCUGAUGCAGCGACGCCGCGUGGGUGAAGGAGUGCUUCGGCAUGUAAAGCCCUAUCGGCAGGGAAGAAGCAAGACGGUACCUGACUAAGAAGCCCCGGCUAACUACGUGCCAGCAGCCGCGGUAAUACGUAGGGGGCGAGCGUUAUCCGGAAUUAUUGGGUGUAAAGGGUGCGUAGACGGGAGUCUAAGUUAGUUGUGAAAUCCCUCGGCUCAACUGAGGAACUGCAACUAAAACUGGACAUCUUGAGUGCAGGAGAGGAAAGUGGAAUUCCUAGUGUAGCGGUGAAAUGCGUAGAUAUUAGGAGGAACACCAGUGGCGAAGGCGACUUUCUGGACUGUAACUGACGUUGAGGCACGAAAGUGUGGGGAGCAAACAGGAUUAGAUACCCGUGUAAA